ACAAAAUGGCGUCUGACGUGGAAGUGCAUAUGAAGCAAAGGGACAUCAUAGCAGCAGGUGUUCUGGGAGAAUUCAGUGAAUCUGUCUAAUGAAACUAAGUGAAAAUGGGACUGCUGGAGGUCAGAAACCUCAGGUCCCACCAGCCCUCCCUUGUUCCUGAUCCAAGCACAGCUCCGCAGCUGAUCUGGAAGCACAAUCCACUGGCUAGGGAAAGGAUGGAAGCACUCCAGCUGCACUUGUGGCCUCAGCUCUUCACACUUGUUUAAGCACUUGUGACCUCACAGCAAAAAGCUGUGUCUAUGUGUGACCUGUGCUGUGGGCCAACAGCAUGAAUGUUCUUUUCCCCCAGUUUCUACGGUAUUUAAAAUGUACAUAUUUUUCAUAGCACUGAUACUGUAUUUUGCUGUUCGAUAAU